ACCCAAAUGCUCAAUGCGACAAUUAUUUCCUUUUUCUCAGACACUUGUCAAAGUAUGGGGACCUAUUUUCAUUUCACCAUUUCCAUUCUACUGACUUUUAUCCAUCAAGCAGAUUUCAGCUCUGUGUUUGUGCUGAAGGGACAGGAUGUUCGUCUGGAUGUCCAGGAAAAUGUUCAACUGAGAGAGUUUGAGGUUUUCAAGUGGAGCUUCGGUUCAGCUAUUAUUGUAAGAUGCGCUGACACAUUGUCAGUGAGAGUGUCUCCUGGGUACAACAACAGGGUUGAGUUUUAUAAGGGAAACUUCUCUCUGCUACUGAAGAACCUACAGCAAAAUGACAGUGGAAAGUAUACUGCAGUAGUGAGUGGUGACAAAGAAAAUACUAUUAUUCUACACCAGUUAGUUCUCCAAGAGAGAGUUGAGUCUCCAGUCCUGACAGUUAACUUUAACUCCACCAUCAAUGUCUCCUGUAACAUUGACUGUGACCUGCAGAGGUCAGAACACCUCUGUCACCUCCAGCUGUAACAGCAGCACCUGCUCUCAGGUGGGAGGAGAGAGUAGAGGGGCUGAGACCUCCACUGUCCCCCUGCUCUCUGUCUAUGUGGCAGGGGGUUCCAUCAUCUGUAACCACAGCAACCAAGUCAGCUGGGCCAACGACACCAAGGAGAUAGUGGAACUCUGUCCAAUGAAAUCUGAACAGCAGAAAUUCAUCCAGGAAUGGACUCUACAAGGUGUCGAAUGCGUUCCACAGGGAUGCUGGCCCAUGUUGACUCCAAUGCUUCCCACAGUUGUGUCAAGUUGUGUGGAUGUCCAAGCUCAACAAUAAAUUGUUCAGUUUGAAAAACCAAGCAGUAUUGCAG